GGGGCGGGGAGCGGGAGAGGAGCGGAGAGCAGCUGAGAGGGCUCUUCUCACACGGCAGAGGUUAGCGACCCUCAGGACAAAUACCUUCUCCCCCUCACCUUCACUGGCUUUAGUUUAAAAAGACACCCACAUAAUCUCAGUAUUUAAUGUUCAGUACUUUCUUUUGUAUAUGUUCUUCCCUUUAACUGAUGGCACCUGCCUCUCAAAAUCAGAGAACACAAGCACCAGAACACGAUCGGGAAUUUUGCUGUGAGGAAAGCGUAGGAUGCCGAGAGCUCGUCUGAGCGCUCAGUCUUCUUAGGUCUGCUGUUGUUGCACCAGCGGUCCGGCAGCUGUCGGGGAUCCGGAUUCCACGGGCCUUUCCCUCCUGAAACAUCAGCUGCCUUCCCCUGACUAACUGCCCGAGAAACUGCAUACGUAGGUUUGGAGGAAAUUGAAAAGCCUAAAUCUGAAAGUCUUCUCUUUUAUAGAUGAAACUCAAAGUACUCAUAAACAAGAAAAUACACCCUGUUGAUCCUUUAGAAAUCCCCCAGGGUAAACAGAACACUGGUUGGGGUAACUUUAUCGUCCUUAGUGGCUUAGUUGUCUAAAUCUUCAGGAUUUUUUCAUCUAUCACUGUCACUUUGUGCUUCAGUAAACAUAAACAUUCUGAGGUUUUUAAAAAAUUGUAAGUUUGGGUAAAAAUGUGAAGUUGAAAUGCUGCCAGUUUUUAAUGCUUAUUCUCAUCAGACUGAUGCAAUGUAAUUUUAAGAGAAUUUACUAAGAAUUAAUUUUAAAGCAGUUUUUAAAAAAUGUACCCUCAUAUUCACUACAUUUAAUGCCUUUCCUUGUUAGCUUAGCGUCUCAUUUAACUUGUGUUGUGUUGUUCUGCUGUUUACCUUUUUUUUUUUUUUUUUUGAUCUAUAUAAUUGCUCAUGUUUGGGGCUUUACAGUGUCUUUUAUCUCUCUAUUCUGCAAGGCUCACAUCUUGCUUUUCAUGCUAUUCAUCCUAUUUUCAGAGGACCUUCCCUUCCCUUCCCUUCCCUUCCCUUCCCUUCCCUUCCCUUCCCUUCCCUUCCCUUCCCUUCCCUUCCCUUCCCUUCCCUUCCCUUCCCUUCCCUUCCCUUCCCUUCCCUUCCCUUCCCUUCCCUUCCCUUCCCUUUUUUUUUCUCAAAAAAAUAUUUAUUUAGGUCUCUGUGCUUAUUUAUUCUGUACUGCAGAGUGGCAUGGAAAUAUAGAAUAUGAUUUUGUUUUAUCCACAUAGACCUUAUUUCUGUUGAAAGUAACAAGUUGGAAAAAAACUGGCAUCAACAUGUUUUCUGUGGCCUUAAUAAAAAGGUCUUUGCUUCUGUCUGGGGGGAGCCAGGUGCACUCGUACAGGUGCAGCCGUAAGUCUGGAACAACCUGGUGGUACCGAGCAAGUACAGUGACCUUGCAGUUACUAGUGAGCAGCUCACGGGAUUUCUGGGUUUGGACCUUGCACCAGUCUGAGUCGUCUGUGGGAGUGAUCAGUAUCACAGUGCUUCAGCUUCUCUUGGAGCCUAUUUAUUGGCAUCUUCCCCAUUCUCACAUUUUGAUUUAUUUGUCAGCCCAUGGGUCAUGCAAUUAAUGAGAUGAAGCUUGGUGUAACAUGAAAGUGGAGAGAAAUGACUGUAAAUGUUUUGGAGACUCUUUUUCUUUUAUGACCUUUUAAAAUAUUUCAGUUAGAAACAACAAACUUUUUUUUUUUUUCAGCAGUUAUCUUGCAGUCCUGCUGGAGUUUUUCAUGACUUUUGAUUAUCUUAAUUACCUCUUUGCCUGGGUCACUUUUUCAAGAUCCAGAAAUAGUUACUAAGAUAAAGGACAAAAAAUAGUCAGGAUGAAGAAGUCAUGAAUGACAAACACAAACUGCCUUUUGGAGUAAAGUUCAAAAAACACACUAGAGUGUAGUCACAGAAAGUUCAGGAUUCUUAAACUUUUUUUCACCUGUUUCUGGUUCUUCUGGUUGAACCAAUACAGUGCAUCUAAUUUCAGGCAGGCAGAGGUGGCUAGCAGAAAUAAGUGAAUGAAGCUGAUUUUAUGCUUGUAUCAAAUUUACAGUCUGUGGAAGAAUCUGAGAUGGGCAUUGAAAAUGGCUUGCUAUUUAAAAAUGAUUUCUGGUUUUAAAAUGCCUGUAGUCUUUGUUAGAUGCUAACUUUCUUGGUAAUAUGUACAUCAAUUUGAAAUGUGUAAGGAAAAUAUAUCUUUAAAGAUCUAUAAUGUUUUCAGUACAUCCAAUGGGUCAGGUAGAGGAAGAGGACAUGCUUCAUCUGCCUUCAACAUGGAGGCUAUUGGCUUUGGUAAGGAUGCAGAUGAAAUAUAUUAACACCCCUAAGAAUUUUGGAUUUUAUAAUAAUGUAAAUCACCAUUUUUCUUAAUUCAUCAUGAAAGGGGCUUUCCUGCCCCUUUGCUAACUGUUGUAUCACAUAUUUAACUGGAUUGCUUGCAAGGAGUAGGUGCAUUGAAGUCCUCAUCAUGAUUUGGUUUUCUGGACAUUGCAAGAAUAGAUACACUGGAUACUUGUAUUUGUCUGAAAUGAGUUUACAUUAGUCUUUGAAGCUAUAAAUUUGCUGAUUUUAGAAAAUUACUAUUUAUGCAAACAUGAAAGAUUGUGUAUGAUUGUCCUGUACUGCAGAAGCCAGCAUUUGAAAAUAACUGAAAGAUCCUUUGUGUAAUUAAGGGAGCGUAAUUGAGACUUGGCAUUUAGGAUGUAUUUGAAAAUCAAAGGGGAAUAAAGACCAUCUUCUGACUGCAUUUUGAUGUGCAGGGAAGCUUUUGACUUACUGAACCAUAUAUUAUUCAUCCUCUUAAUCCAGCAUUGCAAUUAAGAUGUGUGAUUUCAUAUUACUAAGUCACCUGUAACUGUUUUUCAUGUGAAUGUUGCAGUUUGCUUGGUAGCACAAUUCUGUGCCAUCUGAAUUCUGUAUACACUGCAUCUUUUGAGGUACAGUCAGUCUAACAGGAGAAUUACUAGCCCCACUAUAUUUAAUGUAGACCCUGGAGAAGGUAAAAGGCUUUCUUCCUUCUGUGAACAAAAUUUCAGAACCAAAUUAAACUUCUCAGGGCAAAUCUGGUGUCAUUCAGGAAAAUCAGAGUUAACCUAGCUGUAUAAGUAGAAUCAAUAAAAAAUUCAAGUGUUGAUUUAAUGACUGGACAAUGACAAAAAGUACGUUACAGCUUUGACUAACUUACAGUGAAAGUAUUUGAAGCAGUGGAUUAUUGCUGUUGCAUAUUCCUAUUAGACACUUUCUGAGUUCACACAAAGUUUCUGUAAAUGCAAUUAGAAACUCAAUUAAGGAACAUCAGCAGCAUUAAGUGAUUUAAAGUGUUGGCCAACUUGCAAAUAUAGAUGGAAGCAGUAAGCUCCUUUCAUGGUCCAGAUCUGGGACUUCUGAUACACUUCAUGCUUCUGAUACACUUCAUGAGAGAAACAACAUCCAUUCUAUAAUUGUGCCUGUAGUAUUCUGGAUACUUUUAAAACUGUUUUUGCAUAUUUAUCUUUCUUACUUUCAAGGUUCAAGCUAAACAAAAACAAAACACCCCAAAAGCAAACCCCCACAAAAAACCUCCCUCAAAUCCCAAAAAUCCAACCCUUAACAUUUCAUUUAAAUUCAUUUGGUAGAAACUGUGUGAGGGCCUGGUUUUAGACAACACAACCUCAUGAUAAUAGUCAUGAGAAGAGUGUCCAUGUUAUUAGAUAGCAUACUUAAUGUAGCUGUAACACUAUCAUAGAAGUGGUUAAGAAAAAUACCAAUCUGACUGAAGAGAGAAGGAAUAGUUUCUGAGAAAGUUUGGUUGGUGAGAAUAAUUGCUUUUGGCAGUUAAGAGUUUAGGGUUACUAUGAAUGACUGUGUAACAGUUUUAAUAAUUUUUUCCCUUGAUUUUGUACAAAAUGCCACAUCUGAGGGGUGGGUUAUAAUUACAUCAGUAAUGGUCUUAAUUUAAAAAGCUUGUUUUUAUCUCAGUUGUAAUGUGCAGUUGUCCCUGGGACUGCAUUCUGUGGCAAAAGUGGUCUAGCUUUAAGAAAACUGUGGAGUAGAUUAUUUUUUACCUAUAUUUUCUGUUACCUGGUUAACAUAACAUUUUGUAAAACUAAGAGGGUGUUACAAAGUGGGCUGUAAGCAGGAACUUGAUAAAUUGUCUUUGCUACAAGAGUGAAUGGAUUGUUAUAAAACCUCAGAGCAGUAUCUAUGAGCCAGGUGGUCCUUUGAAGUGUGAGAAGGGAAACGUUUUAUUAGUUAGGAUGUAUCUGUCUAUCUUUCAUUAUUCAGGUAGCAAAUGAAAGCCCUGUCUCCUUCUACCUGGAAAUUUUGAUGUGAAAUGUGCCAAAUAGCAUAGAUUUCCAUCAUCCAACACUCAUUUUGAGAGAAUAGCAGGCAUAUUCUAUAGAAAUUUCUUUACUUACCCUACUAUGUAAGUUACGAAUCACUCAUAUUUUCCUGUGCGUGUAUCUGCCAAGAUUGGGUGACUGCCACCUUGGCAGUGGUUUGGAAUUAGUUCCUUGGUUGUGAGUGGCAAGAGUCAGUCAAUGUAUUUUUUUACUGAUGGCAUCAGCAAUUUUUUCCUCACUAAGGAGCCUUGAACUGAAAUCAAAACUACUUCUUUCUUUUCCUCUCUUUGCUGGUAGUUUCCUACAUCUAUGAAUGCCCCUUGAGACAAUGUUAUUUUAAUUGUAGACUCUUUCAUGCACAAUUUUGAGAAGGUUUUCUGUUUGCCUUCAUAAUAACUAAGUUUAAGAUUUAGCUUCAUCUAUGAUGUCUUCUUUUUCCUUGGUGAGUACGCACCUGAAGGAUGGAAAGCCACAGAGAGACCUUCUCCAGUCUCCAAACAGACUGGAGAAGUGGGUGCAUGGGAAUCUCAUGUAAUUUUAAUAGUGAGUGCAAGUGCUGCACCUGGGUUGGACCAGUGCCAGCACGUUGAGGGAGGGAUUGUUCCCCUCUUCCCUGUUUUGGUGGGACCCCACCUGCGGUUCUGCAUAAGCUCUGGGGUCCCAGAACAGGAAGGACAUGGACCUGUUGGAACAAGUCCAGACGAGGCCGCUCAGUUGAUUACAGGGAAGGAGAACUUCUCCUAUGAGGAGAGCGUGAGAGAAUUGAGAUUAUUCAGCUUGGAAAAGUCUUCAGGCUGACCUAAUUGCAACCUUUCAGUAUCUGAAGGGAAUUUACAGAAAAGAUGGGGCAAUAGCAUGUAGUGACAGGACAAGGGGGAAUAGGUUCAAAUUGAAAGAGAAUGGGUUUAGAUUAGACAGACAUUAAGAAGAAAUUCUUUACUGUGAGGGUGUUGAGGCACUGACACAGUUUGCUCAGGGAAAUUGUGGAUGCCCCAUUUCUGGAGGUGUUCAAUGCCAGGCUGGGUGGGGCUUUGAGUAACCUGAUCUAGUGGAAGGUGUCCCUUCCCAUGGCAGUGGGGUUAGAACAAGAUGAUGUUUAAGGUCCCUUCCAACUCAAACUCUUCUGUCAUUCUAUGAGUCUGUGAUUAUGUGCUAGAAGUUUUUGACGCUAAAGGUCAAAGGCUAUCUUUGUUACUAUUUUUUGUAAAAUAUCUGCAAAUAUUAUCCCUACUUGGGUUAACAGUGCAAUCAGGUUCAGUAAUUUUGCACUAAGUGGAUUUUGCAUGUGGUAAUUUGUCAAGAAAAAAUGUGACUGAUUUUAAAAUACUAAAGUUUUGGUAUUGCUUUCGGCAUUAGAGAUUGUAUGUAAAAGGUUAUUAUCUAUGUAUAAGUGGAUGUACUUGCACUGUAUGACUACUGUAUUAUUUACAAUGAAUUUCUCAAUUUACUUCUUGUGCCUAGAAGAAGGUUAAAUGGAUUAAAGUGUUUAGCUGCUGUUUUGGAUAGGAUGCAAAGCUCUUCCAUUGCAGAAGUACUGGAAGUCUUGGAAGCUGGUGAUCAGACACAACCUUUUGAGACUUGGGAAUACUGGAUGCUAUUUAUGAAUAACACAGUGAUGUUAAAUGUUUCUCACUGGUUUUGUAAUAAAGGUUUGAUUGUGAAACUCUUGAAGAGUAGAGAGUUACUGUUAUAUUUGAUGUUUCAACUUAGUCUCUGAAUAAAUCUGCAUUUAACAAUUCCGUGCUUUUCCAGGAUAAAAGAAUAAAUUAUAGUAUUUGGUGUUUUUUGUUUGUUUUGGGGUGGGGUUUUUGUUCAGUUUUUUACUGUUUGACAACGAGAAACUGUUCAACACGGGAUUGGAAAAAUAUACUCUAUGUUCAGUUACAGGUAAAUAUCAAGGACUGUGUGGAUGGCCUUGACUGUGAACUGAGUAACACUUUCUCUGUAGCAACUGAGAGAUAGUUAGGAGUACCAGGACAAUGCAAAGGAGCAGGAAACGUGGGCACCAGGAAUUAGCUGAGGUUAUCGAAGGCUAAUUUUCUAUGAGCCUGUGAAAUGCUCUGAUAUUUUAAGUAUUUGAUUCACUGUUUUUCAAACAAUAAAAAGGGUAAGAAAUUAUUACCAAGUCAUAUAUUCCUUCCAGUCCUGUAUUUUGAGAGUCAUUGUACUUGGCAUGAUUUUAGAUCAAGGUGAGUAUUGUUUUGUCAAAAAAAAAAUAAAAAAGGAAAGACGGAAAGAAUCUGCUUUUAUUUAUUUACCCUGUUGGAAUAACUGAUUGGCAGCACAAAUGCAAACUUUAGCUCUCACUCUUACUCUCCUUUUCCUUUAGUCACUUCAUAAGAGUUUUGAACGGGCAGCAAACAUGGAUGUUACUAAAAAUAACCCAGCCUUAUGUCUGUCCUGGGAAGCUAUGUUUUAAAAUAUUAGCCUUCCCAAACCAUAUCUUUAUAGCUCAGUACUGCAAACUUAAUUACAUAAUAAGUAAGUUGAAGAGCCUGUUGGCCACUGGAAUGACUGAACUUUGUCUCCUUGACAUAGAAGCCAGUUGUCAUUGUGUGGAUAAAAUGGCAAUCCUGACUCCCGUUCCUCAAUUUAAAUUACAGCUAGAAUUCCCUAAAACUGUUGUACUAAAACAUUUUGGCAUACAGGAGAAGACUCCCAGGAGAGAUGAGACCAAAGAAGGCAAACAAAAAAGUUCACAGAUAAAACAGAAAAAGGAAUGGGAAUGUGCAUAGUCACAGAGACUGGCUCAGCUGGAAUCUUUGUUCCUUUUUAGAGCAUCAUUGAGAAGCAUGAUACUGUAAGAUUCAACUGAAAAUGAAAUAUUUAUUUGCAAAAUCUCCAAAGAUGAGACCAGAAUAUACCUGGGUUUUAUUCCAAAAGAAGAAACUCUGGGCUUUUAUAAGCCUAAGCACAAUAGUUUUCACCCUGAGAUCAUAAAAAGAGAAUGACUGCUCAAUGGGGCAGUGGGGGAAUUUUUCUUUCUUUAGUUCCAGUUUCUCUACUGGCUCUUAAAAGUACAUUUCUCUACAUGUUAUAAUGGCAAAGAUCAGCUGACCAUCAGAAUUUGAUUGGAUUAAAAACCAGGUUCCCCUAAAAGCAAAAACAAUGUGAGGCUAAGGGUUUUUUGUGGACUCCUGAUGAUACAUUUAGUUGUUGUUUGUUUUUUGGUUUUUUGGGGUUUUUUUUCUUUCUUUUUUUUUUUUUUUUUUUGUGGAAUCCCGAUGAUACAGAGUUAUAUAUUAGUCAGAAGGUUUGUACAUAGCUGAUCAAUGAUCCAUUAGAGCUCCUGGUACUUGUCUCUUUUGACGCAUAGCUUAGGUGACAUUUUAACCAUGGUGGAACAAAGGUGAACAAAUCAACAGAAUUUGUACAGAAAUUCAAACCAAGUUCCUACCAUUCUCCCUUUUUAGCCUGCAGGAGUGGUUUUGGGAUCAAUACAGAUCCAUGCACAGAGGCAGCUUUACUUUUACACACCUGCCCUCCCUCUUUCUGGUUUCCCUCGAUGUUUUAACUGCCUUCUCAGUGACAAAGCUUUGGAUAGAAUUCCACACUGACCCUGGGCUGUGAAAUGCAAAAUCCUAGAUACCAGCAGUGCCUGCUGAAAAGAAAAAAUACAUAAAUAAGAUAAAUAAAAAUGUCAUCUGGGUUCAGUUGACAUUGUAGGCCAGCCAUAUGCAUAGGUAUAUAGCACUCAAAUGUAUGCAUUUUAGCCCAAGUACUGGAAGACCAGGUAUUAGACUGUAUUUUAUUACACCUCUAAGGUACAUAACAUAGGGAGCUAUUUUGCUUCCAUAGUUCUAACAAUGGGUCAGUGUUGUCACUGACAUAUUUUAUGAAAAUCCUUUCGCUAGGAUUUUUUUCCUGAGAAGCUGCGAGGCCUCAGAAACGAAAUGUAAACAAUAAUUAUCUGAUGGCUGUGGAAUGUGUUCUGGAGAUGGUUUACCAACAGGUGCAUCUUUGAUUGGUCUCAUGUGGUUGUUUUUACUUGAUGACCAAUGACAGCCAGCUGAGUUGAGGUUGUGAGCAGUCACAAAUUUUAUUAUUCAUUCUUUUCUUUGCUAGCCAUCUGAUGUCUUCUCUCUCUUUCUUUAGUACAGUUUUAAUAUAUAAUUUUCUUUUAAUAUAAUAUAUACCAUAAAAUAAUAAAUCAGCCUUCUGAAACAUGGACUCAAGAUUCUCAUUUCUUCCCUGGGGUUGCCUGCAAAUUACACACCAUAUUUCUAAUUUAUAAGGGCCAAAGAUGCCCAGCUCUUAGACACAAAUCUCAUGUCUGUUUGUUCUUUAUGUAUUAUCUGUAAAAGCCUGCAGGAGGUUGUGCAGGGAUGAUAAUUCUGAAUUGCAUUUUCUGCUUGUUUUCCUAAAAGCCUACUUCAUACUGGAUGUUUGCUUUGAUGCUGUUCAUGUUUUGCAGAGCAGAUUGACUCCCCUGAGCUCUGUGCAGUGCUUUAGUCAUAUAAUCCUUUCCUAGGCCAAAACACUGAAAUAAACUCAAUGUUAUUUAUGACUAAUGCUUUUGAUAAAAUAUAAGUGUUUUCUCAGCA